rnacentral:misc_RNA from 1 species
AACUGGAGUAUUUGAAGUGAUCAAGGGUACUAAUUUCAAGGUUAUAAAGGAGACAGACGAUCAAGUAGAGAUAUCGUUUUCGCGACCAUGGGAUCCCUCCCUCCAAGGCAAACUUGUGCCUCUGAAUAUUGACAAAAGGUUUAUUUUGCUCCGUGGCUGCUCUGGUUUCUACUCUUAUGCCAUUUACGAGCAUGUUGGUUCAUCUGAGUGGCCUGCUUUCAGCAUCGGUGAAACAAGAAUAGCAUUCAAGCUCCGGAAAG